GUUAUAGGGUCAAGCGAACAAGUGCAUGUGGUGGAUGCCUUGGCGAUCACAGGCGAUGAAGGACGCGGUAGCCUGCGAAAAGCUACGGGGAGCUGGCAAACGAGCUUUGAUCCGUAGAUGUCCGAAUGGGGAAACCCACUCCUUUUGGAGUAUCCAUGGCUGAAUACAUAGGCCAUGCGAAGCGAACGCGGUGAACUGAAACAUCUAAG
rnacentral:rRNA from 1 species